rnacentral:rRNA from 1 species
CCUGCUCAAUGCCAUCUAAAUAGCCGCUCUCAGUGCUAAGGUAGCACAAUAAAUUGCUCCCUAAUUAAGAGAUAGUAUGAAAGAAACUACGAUUUAUUAAUUUUAUUAAAAUAUAUUAUUAAAAUUAACCCUAUUCGUCACAACCCGACCUACCAUCAGAAAGACGACAAGACCCCAUCGAACUUUCACUAUCAGUUAUACUGGGAAGGUCCAAAACCACAUCUUUUCUACCCUUUCAAUUAACGCCCCUAAUAGAAUCAAAAACAAGUUACCGUGGGGAUAACAGCAUAAUAAUUUCUCAAAGCCCCUAUAUAACAAAUUGAUUAUGACCUCGAUGUUGAAUUAACAUCCCUUAUUAUAGAAACCUACCAUAAAGGAGGUCUGUUCGACCUUAAAACCAUUACAU